UACGGAGGAUGCGAGCGUUGUCCGGAUUUACUGGGCGUAAAGGGAGCGUAGGCGGACUUUUAAGUGAGAUGUGAAAUACUCGGGCUCAACUUGAGUGCUGCAUUUCAAACUGGAAGUCUAGAGUGCAGGAGAGGAGAAUGGAAUUCCUAGUGUAGCGGUGAAAUGCGUAGAGAUUAGGAAGAACACCAGUGGCGAAGGCGAUUCUCUGGACUGUGACUGACGCUGAGGCUCGAAAGCGUGGGGAGCAAACAGG
rnacentral:rRNA from 1 species